CAAUAGCGUAUAUUUAAGUUGCUGCAGUUAAAAAGCUCGUAGUUGGAUUUCGGGUGGGGCCUGCCGGUCCGCCGUUUCGGUGUGCACUGGCCGGGCCCACCUUGUUGCCGGGGACGAGCUCCUGGGCUUUAUUGUCCGGGACUCGGAGUCGGCGAGGUUACUUUGAGUAAAUUAGAGUGUUCAAAGCAGGCCACCGCUCUGAAUACAUUAGCAUGGAAUAACACGAUAGGACUCUGGCCUAUCUUGUUGGUCUGUAGGACCGGAGUAAUGAUUAAGAGGGACAGUCGGGGGCAUUCGUAUUUCAUUGUCAGAGGUGAAAUUCUUGGAUUUAUGAAAGACGAACUA
rnacentral:rRNA from 1 species